GGGGUCGAGGCACGUUUGGAAGCUGUGCCACAUUAUGUAGCACAGCACACGCCAGCACGAUUUUGCUCACCUUUUCAGGAGUAGACAAUCUUGGAGCCAAAGACGGAGAUUACAAGCGAGAGUAACGGCAAUCUUGCAGCUCAAGGCGGAGGUCACGGUAAUGUGGGCAUACCCACGAUCUGACCACUGGUGGGACACAAUUGUUGCGGAUUUCACCCCGUUACAAUUCAUGCAGAAUUUCCGCGUAUCCCCAGGAUCAUUUGAGUACAUCGGCUGUCAGGUCAAGCAUGCCAUGGGGAGAAGAAACACAAACUACAGUUUGUGUGUCCCAAUCCGAAAGCGUGUGGCUAUUGCCAUCUGGAAACUGGCCACAGGUGUUGAAUACAGGACAAUUAGCCAUCUUUUUGGAGUAGGCCUCAGCACUGUAUUUAGUUGUGUUCAGGAAUUCUGCAACACAGUCAUCACAGUGCUCCUUCCCAUCAACAUAAGAUUUCCUGAUGCUAAAAAGUUGCUGGAAAUGGCCACUUUCUUUAAUAAUCGUUGGAGAAUUCCGGUGUGUGGGUGCAAUUGAUGGCAGCCACAUUCCAGUAAUUGCACCAGAGGACUAUCCACGAGACUAUUUCAAUCGUAAAGGCUGGCAUUCUAUUGUUCUGCAAGCAGUUGUGGAUGGCAAAGGUCUAUUCUGGGAUGUUUGUGUUGGCUAUCCAGGGAGUGUGCAUGACGCCAGAGUGCUACGACAGUCACAUUUGUGGGAGGCCUUAAGUGACGGGGAAUUACUAGGGCAAAACAAAGUGACUAUCUCUGGCUGUGAUGUUGGACAUUACCUGAUCGGUGAUCCGGCAUAUCCCAUGCAGAAUUGGCUCAUGAAGCCCUUUUGUGACACUGGCAGACUGACCCCCGAACAGCACACAUACAAUUACAGGCUGAGCAGUGCACGAUCGGUUGUGGAGAUGUCUUUUGGGAGAUUAAAAGGACGAUGGAGGUGCCUCCUAAAAAGACUGCAAGCUGGAGCUGAGCAAGAGGAUGGCACUGACCUGCUGUGUCCUCCAUAACAUUUGUGAGGAACAUGGUGAUAAUUUCAGUGAAGAGCACCCAGACAGGACUCUAAACAUAAAGCCUACUGCUCAUCAGGGCUGCAUUAAUGAUGCAUUUUAACAGAGGGAACGAGUGAUUCUUUGAAUACACCAAAGCUAUAUUUGUUGCAAUAUUUUUGUAACCCUGCAGUUUGUGUUUAUUGAAAUCUACACUUUUGAAUUGUAUUACAUUCUCAUCCAUUAAAUGAACUAUGUAAUCUCUAAAA